GCUGCCCCGCCUGCCGAGCAUGCGCAUGCCCAGCGCCUGCCCUGUGCGUCCCGGGAAGCCGGGCGGGAGCCUGCGGCUUCGGACGCCUACGACACGCUGUGCGUGGGGGCGCGGAGUGCGGGGGAUGUAGUUCCGGUUGGGAGGGGCGUGGCUGAGGACUGUGAAGCAAUCGGGGCGAGGCCGGGUGUCUGUUCAACUCUCCCGCGUAUCGUCUGUUUCUUCGGCGGCGGACAGUGUUCUGUAAUGUGUCUCCCGUUGCCCGAGCUAAAGGUUUUCCUCGACGGAGUCUUUAGAAUACCGUGGUAGAGGAAGGCAGUCUCCACACCACUGUGCUCGAACAGCUCUAUGAAGAGGCCUAUGUGGAGAGGAGAAAAAGCCUCCACCAACAGCCAGCACCAACUUGCCAGCCAUAUAUGAACUCUCGCUAUGUUGCCUCGGCUGGUCUCAAACUCCUGGGCUCAAGUGAUCCUCCCACUUCGGCCUCCCAAACUCAAAGCACCUGUCAUAAAAAUAUUAACUUGUAAUAAAAGUGUUUAGUAACACUAAUAUGUGAUGGCAAUUUCAGGAAAGUCAAUGUUCUGAGCAAGAAGAACAAGGAACAGAAGGUAUAAUGAUAACAGAUGAGAGAGGAAAAAGCAGACUCAAUCAACUCCUACUUUUCCAUCAUUUUUCCGUUACAGAGAAUUAUCCUCAAAUUAGAAGGAGUAGGACCUACAUGGUAAAGAAAAAAUUUACGUGCAAGGCAGAUGAGGAAGUAAGAGAGCAUCCAGCCCCUUCACACAACUUCAUUCUCUGUCUUACCGAAAGAAUGUGAAAUGUGGUGGUAGCUUUACUGGGGACAGGAGAGGUGCCAGAAGUUUGAAGAUGGACUAAUCUCCUUGUUUUCUAAAAGAAGAACCUAUAAGUCUCUGAGCACAUUUUUCUUUGGCAAAAUUCUGGAAUGGAUAAUUAGACAAAUGGUUUGUGAAUCUUUAGAAAAGUGGCAAAAACAAGGCACAGCAUAAAUUCACUAAAAAAUAA
rnacentral:lncRNA from 1 species